rnacentral:rRNA from 1 species
UAGAGUUUGAUCCUGGCUCAGAACGAACGCUGGCGGCAGGCCUAACACAUGCAAGUCGAGCGUGAAAGGGACUUCGGUCCUGAGUAAAGCGGCGCACGGGUGAGUAACACGUGAAUAAUCUGCCCUCAUGACCGGGAUAACAGACCGAAAGGAUUGCUAAUACCGGAUAAGCCCACGAAUCAAACGGGUGCGUGGGAAAAGCAUGGGAUUCUUCGGAACCAUGUGCGUGAGGAUGAGUUCGCGUCCCAUUAGAUAGUUGGUGAGGUAAUGGCUCACCAAGUCGACGAUGGGUAGCUGGUCUUAGAGGAUGAUCAGCCACACUGGGACUGAGACACGGCCCAGACUCCUACGGGAGGCAGCAGUGGGGAAUCUUGCGCAAUGGAGGAAACUCUGACGCAGCCAUGCCGCGUGAGUGAUGAAGGCCUUCGGGUUGUAAAGCUCUGUCUAAGGGGAAAAAUGAUGCGAUGUCGAAUAGGCAUGGCAAGUGAUGGUACCCUUAAAGAAAACACCGGCUAACUCCGUGCCAGCAGCCGCGGCAAUA